CCUACGGGAGGCAGCAGUGGGGGAUAUUGCACAAUGGGGGGAACCCUGAUGCAGCGACGCCGCGUGGGUGAAGGAGCGUUUCGGCGCGUAAAGCCCUAUUGGCAGGGAAGAAGGAGGACGGUACCUGACUAAGAAGCCCCGGCUAACUACGUGCCAGCAGCCGCGGUAAUACGGAGGGGGCAAGCGUUAUCCGGAUUUACUGGGUGUAAAGGGGGCGCAGACGGCAGCGCAAGCCAGGAGUGAAAGCCCGGGGCCCAACCCCGGGACUGCUCUUGGAACUGCGCGGCUGGAGUGCAGGAGAGGUAAGUGGAAUUCCUGGUGUAGCGGUGAAAUGCGUAGAUAUUAGGAAGAACACCAGUGGCGAAGGCGGCUUACUGGACUGUAACUGACGUUGAGGCUCGAAAGCGUGGGGAGCAAACAGGAUUAGAUACCCGGGUAGUC
rnacentral:rRNA from 1 species